rnacentral:rRNA from 1 species
CGUAAUAAUAGAAACUAACCAGGAUUCCCUUAGUAACGGCGAGUGAACUGGGAUACCCAAUAUAUACCAUCUGUGCGUACCUCGGUGCGUACAAAUUUUAGCCCGUCGAUACUAUCCUAGCAUAGUACUGGCUUCGGCCGGUAACCUAUCUAUGCGGGAAUUGUAGCAUCGUACAAAAAUAUAUUAUACAACGUAUACAUACGCAACCCACACUUAUAUAUAUUUUUAUGCGUACACUUACUUUCAUAAACACACAGCGCUCCCGCGUUGGAAAGCAAGUAUAUAUCCUUUUUGGAUAUGCCAUAGAGUGUGACGGCCACGUUUCAACUCUCUACGUAUACGCAUGCGUUAUAUACAUACACUGUAUUUUAUAUAUAACCUGAGUCGAGUUAUUU